CUUUUAACAGGUUGCAAUUUUUUUUACCUAAAACAACAGAAAUAAACGCUUCUGUUUAGCAUGUUUUUAAGAAAAUAAGAACAAUUCUCACUUUAAAUAACCGUCCAAUUUUUUAUGUUUGUGUGACAUUUAUCAUUUUUCAAGACAGUUUUUGGUUGGUGGUCCUGUAAUAGUUACAGAGUUUUUGAUGUGGCAGCAUUGUUUUGAAAUAACCAAAUUGACUUUUUCGUCCGGAAAAAUGGUUUUUGGGGACUGGGUACCUGAAAUAAGCCAGUGGUUCGACUUGAGAAAAACAGGGGCGUACACGUUUUCUACAAUGUUCAAAAUGCUGCCUUCGAUGUUAUCGUCCAUUGUGCCAAAGUUGAUGUUGUCGAAGAAAGUCGCAACUUCGAAAACUUCGAACGGUUGUCGGAGAAAAUAGGUUAGGUCCAUGACAGACCUUGUCGGGGGGCCCAAACUGCAAGUCAGGUCGUCAUUUAUGAAAUAAAUCGUCAAAAUCGGUUCGUCGUCGGGUCGUAGGUCGUAGAGUGUGGUAAGAUUUUUGACAAAUCCGACUAAUUUGUCGAGAUCUUCGUCGCUGUAGGAGACUUUAACGUGUUCACUGGUCUCGGCUUCCGGAGUUUGGAUUUUCACGGCUUUAUCUAAGAGAAUUUUGAGUUGGAUUGUAGGACUAGGAAUGGUGACUUACCUUCGGAUUUGUCCGAGAAAAGUGAAUCUUUCUCUUCGGCUUCAUCGAGGGGUGAAGGGGUUGUCAUUUCAGGCUUUAAAUUAAACUGUUUUAUAUUUUACCACCAAGCAGAAUAUUUUUUUUAGGCAAAUAGUUCGCUUUUUUUGGUUAAAGAAAAAAAUAAACAAGUUUUAGUCUUGUCAAUAUUGUCAUACCAACGACCUCAAAGGCAACUCCGUGAGGUUUCAUAGAAAUUUUGGAAAAAUACACAUUAUUACAAAAUAAAAUUUAUUGUAAAUUACUAAUCUAAAACUAAAUAAACUUUUAAUAUUAA